UGUAGGAGUGAGCCUGCUCGCGAUAGCGGUUUGUCUGGUUCGGAUUCAUCGACUAAAAAACCAUCGCGAGCAGGCUCACUCCUACA
rnacentral:misc_RNA from 1 species